rnacentral:tRNA from 1 species
GACCUGUUAGCUCAGUUGGUUAGAGCGUCGUGCUAAUAACGCGAAUGUCGUGGGUUCGUCCCCCACAUGGCCCA